AUAGCGUAUAUUAAAGUUGUUGCAGUUAAAAAGCUCGUAGUUGAACUUCAGAUCUGGUUGAGUGGUCCACCUAACGGUGUGUUACUACUUGACUGGGUCUUGUCUCUUGGUGAACCGUUGUGUUCUUUAUUGAAUGCUUCGGGGAACCAGGACUUUUACCUUGAGAAAAUUAGAGUGUUCAAAGCAGGCCUAUGCCCGAAUACAUUAGCAUGGAAUAAUAGAAUAGGACGUGUGGUUCUAUUUUGUUGGUUCUUAGAGCUGCCGUAAUGAUUAAUAGGGAUAGUUGGGGGCAUUCAUAUUCAGUCGCUAGAGGUGAAAUUCUUGGAUUGACUGAAGAUGAACUACUG
rnacentral:rRNA from 1 species